rnacentral:rRNA from 1 species
CCCUUAGAUGUUCUGGGCCGCACGCGUGCUAAACUGAGUAAUUCAAUGGGUAAGGGAACGCUAGAGCAUUACCUAAUCUUGAAAUUUGCUCGUGAUGGGGAUCGACGGUUGCAAUUUUCCGUCGUGAACGAGGAAUACCUUGUAGGCGCAUGUCAUCAUCAUGCGCCGAAUACGUCCCUGCCCUUUGUACACACCGCCCGUCGCUCCUACCGAUUGAGUGAUCCGGUGAGGCUCUGGGACCUGGACGGAAAGAGCGUUUCGCUUGUUCUGUUUGGGAAACUUGGUCGAACCUUAUCAUUUAGAGGAAGGAGAAGUCGUAACA